rnacentral:rRNA from 1 species
AUAACGACUCUCGGCAACGGAUAUCUCGGCUCUCGCAUCGAUGAAGAACGUAGCGAACUGCGAUACUUGGUGGGAAUUGCAGAAUCCCGUGAACCAUCGAGUCUUUGAACGCAAGUUGCGCCCGAAACCUUUGGUCGAGGGCACGUUUGCCUGGGUGUCACA